rnacentral:tRNA from 1 species
GAGGGUGUAGCUCAGGGGUGGAGCACAUGCUUAGCAUGCAUGAGGUCCUGGGUUCCAUCCCCAGUGCCUCCA